ACACAUGCAAGUCGAACGGGAUCUGCGUGGCCUUUGUGGUUGUGUGGUGAGAGUGGCGAACGGGUGAGUAACACGUGAGUAACCUGCCUUUUUCUUUGGGAUAACGCUCAGAAAUGGGUGCUAAUACUGGAUGUUCUGCGCUUUCCGCAUGGGGGGUGUGGGAAAGGGGCCUUUGUGGUUUCUGGAGGGAGAUGGGCUCGCGGCUUAUCAGCUUGUUGGUGGGGUGAUGGCUUACCAAGGCUUUGACGGGUAGCCGGCCUGAGAGGGUGGGCGGUCACAUUGGGACUGAGAUACGGCCCAGACUCCUACGGGAGGCAGCAGUGGGGAAUUUUGCACAAUGGGGGGAACCUUGAUGCAGCGACGCCGCGUGAGGGAUGGAGGCCUUCGGGUUGUGAACCUCUUUCGCUCGUGUGCAAGCCGCUACUUGGGUAGUGGUGAGUGUAGCGGGUAAAGAAGCGCCGGCUAACUACGUGCCAGCAGCCGCGGUAAUACGUAGGGCGCGAGCGUUGUCCGGAUUUAUUGGGCGUAAAGGGCUUGUAGGCGGUUUGUCGCGCCUGUCGUGUAAUCCUCUGGCUUAACUGGGGGUGUGCGGUGGGUACGGGCAGGCUUGAGUGC
rnacentral:rRNA from 1 species